AACGAACGCUGGCGGCAUGCCUAACACAUGCAAGUCGAACGAGACCUUCGGGUCUAGUGGCGCACGGGUGCGUAACGCGUGGGAACCUGCCCUUAGGUUCGGAAUAACUCCCCGAAAGGGGUGCUAAUACCGGAUAAUGUCUUCGGCCCAAAGAUUUAUCGCCUUUGGAUGGGCCCGCGUUGGAUUAGCUAGUUGGUAGGGUAAAAGCCUACCAAGGCGACGAUCCAUAGCUGGUCUGAGAGGAUGAUCAGCCACACUGGGACUGAGACACGGCCCAGACUCCUACGGGAGGCAGCAGUGGGGAAUAUUGGACAAUGGGCGAAAGCCUGAUCUAGCAAUGCCGCGUGAGUGAUGAAGGCCUUAGGGUUGUAAAGCUCUUUUACCCGGGAUGAUAAUGACAGUACCGGGAGAAUAAGCUCCGGCUAACUCCGUG
rnacentral:rRNA from 1 species